CUCCCACAAAAUCAAGAAGAGUACACACCAUCAAACUCUCUCUAAUGGCCCAGCUGGACCAAAAAUUAUGCCUAGUAAGAAAAACUCCAAAAAAAAGGAAAGAAAUCAAGAAUGGAAAAAGGAGAGAUGUCUUCAAACUCAUCUAACCUAAAGACACAAUUUUUACCACAAAUACCCUUUCUGCUACAAACCCCUCACCCCCCACCCCCCCCCAUCCCCCUUNNNNNNNNNNNNNNNNNNNNNNNNNNNNNNNNNNNNNNNNNNNNNNNNNNNNNNNNNNNNNNNNNNNNNNNNNNNNNNNNNNNNNNNNNNNNNNNNNNNNNNNNNNNNNNNNNNNNNNNNNNNNNNNNNNNNNNNNNNNNNNNNNNNNNNNNNNNNNNNNNNNNNNNNNNNNNNNNNNNNNNNNNNNNNNNNNNNNNNNNNNNNNNNNNNNNNNNNNNNNNNNNNNNNNNNNNNNNNNNNNNNNNNNNNNNNNNNNNNNNNNNNNNNNNNNNNNNNNNNNNNNNNNNNNNNNNNNNNNNNNNNNNNNNNNNNNNNNNNNNNNNNNNNNNNNNNNNNNNNNNNNNNNNNNNNNNNNNNNNNNNNNNNNNNNNNNNNNNNNNNNNNNNNNNNNNNNNNNNNNNNNCCCCCCUCCCACAAAAUCAAGAAGAGUACACACCAUCAAACUCUCUCUAAUGGCCCAGCUGGACCAAAAAUUAUGCCUAGUAAGAAAAACUCCAAAAAAAAGGAAAGAAAUCAAGAAUGGAAAAAGGAGAGAUGUCUUCAAACUCAUCUAACCUAAAGACACAAUUUUUACCACAAAUACCCUUUCUGCUACAAACCCCUCACCCCCCACCCCACCCUACCCCCUUUCUCUCCAUCUUCAUCACUGUUUAAAAGAACAACAAACAAGAAACACAAUGUUUUUGUAUACUAUUACUGUUUUUUUUCCUUUUUCCUUGUUUACCGGUUUAUGUGGGUUUGUCUUGGUCAGAGUUUUCACAGAGAACUUUCUCACCACAAUACACUCUUUAUCUCUUCUCCACUCCCUACCCCCCACCCCCUCAAACCCCCCAAUUGUGUCUGUCUUUUCUAUUCUUUCUCUAUUACCCCUUCUUUUUUUCUUUCUUACCCUAUUUGUGUUUGUAUUAUUGUUCUAUCUUUUCCUUCCACACGCUUCUUUUCUCUUACUUUUCCCUCUUUUCUAUCUUCUGCCGCCAUACCCUUUUCUUGGUUUUGUCUAUUUGCUUCAAAGAUUGGUUCUUUUUGUGAUUUAAGCAUUUGUUUGUUUGAUUUCUCUGUGAUUUGAUUGAUAUGUCUAAGAAGAUGAAAAGGGUUGUUUUAGAAUCAUCACCUUAUGUGGUGUUUGAGGAGAAUAAUGCUAGAUUGAAGCAUCAGACUCUAUUGCAGGACUAUCAAGUACUCUAUAAGGUAAAAAUGAAAUAAAAAUUGGGGUUGUUUUUGGCCUGUAGUUUUGAAGAUCUAUGCUUAUUGUUGAUAAAUUUUUGUUGUUGUGUGAUUUUGGGGAUUUUGUGUAGAACAGUUCCCUGUUUUGUCUCUGGUGGAUCUUCAUGUAGUUAGAUUUCUAUUGGUGUUUUUAUUGUUGAGGAACUGUUCUUGGUUUUGAUUUGUUUUGUUUCCUGCCUUUUUCAGCUUGGAUUUGUUUAUUCAAUAGUUGUUUUAUGUUGGUUCUUGUGUUUUCCUUCGUUUUGUGUAUGAAUUGAAGGGCUUUUGUUUAUGAUAUAGUGAGUAUUAGUAAUAUGAUAUGGUUGAGAAUACAUUUUAGAACUAUUGAAUAAGUUGAGUUACACGAUACUUGUGUUGGUGGGAGGUAGCUAGUACCCAAUGGAAUCAGUUGAGGUGUGCGUAAGUUGGCUCAGGCACCACGGUUGUUAAAAAAUGAUUGGGGCUUUUCCCGGAUUUGUUUAUUCACCAGUUGUCUUAUGUUGAUUCCUGUUUUUUCCUUAGUUUUGUUUAUGAAUUGAAGGACUUAUGUUUAGAGUUGAGAACUUUGUCAGUUGCAUGCCCAGUGAGAAACUUGAAGCCACUUGAUGCUUGUUGCUAUAAUAAUUGUGAUUUAGUGAGUAUUAGUGAUGUGUUUUCUGGUUUUAUCUUUUGAAAAAGUAUCUUUCUUUUUAACUAAUCUAUGCAUGUGAAUCCAUCAUAAUCAUACUGUGGUUGUGCAUAUUCAGUUAAUUUACGUGCAACUCAUUUGUUACAAUUAUUUACAGGACACUAAUGACACGAGGAACAAAUUGGAGGACCUGAAAAUGAGGAAACAAAGAUUACUUGCUGAAGUUCAGUAAGUUUUUGUUGUCGACUUGUUGUUUUUCUCUUUCUGAAUUUUGCUCAAGUCUAUGGUAUUUUCAUUAUGUAGUGUAGGCUCUAAAAAAAGAUCGUCUGAGGUCAACUUAGUACUGGAUGUUGAGGCUAAUUCGUUUAGAUAAUUGGUUGUCGAAUAGAUACUAUGUCGAGAGAAUUUUUAACAUUAGAUUGAUGAUUUAACUAUGAUUCAUAUAGCUGUUAAUGUGCAUCUAAUGAUGCCAGAGGUGGAACUUUACCCAUAUUUUCGCACAUAGCAUCGAUAUACAUGUUAAAUUACUUCGAUGUCAACCAAUACUAAAUUUUGUACCAUGAUUUUGAAAAAUGCAAUUGAUUUAAAGGCAAGUAUCAAAGGUUAAAUUCUGGAAACUCCUCUUUCUGAUGCAACUGGUUUUUGAAAUGCUUGCAGAAAUUUCUUUUAUUCUUACUCUAAAUGCAUUCCGCAUAUUUGCAGUUUCUUGCGCCGAAGACACAAAUACCUAUUGCAGAUGAAGUCAUCAAGUCAUCCUGAACAGCAAGAACGAGCAGCCCUGCUGAACUCAGAGUUUUACUGUAUAAAUGGGGUGAAUGAUCGAUUUCCCAGCAAAAAGAAGGCGAAGCAACACAAACUGCCCCCUCUUCCUGGGCUGAAACAGAAAGCGAGGAUUCAAGUUGCAAAGGAAGCUUCUUCGCAGAAGACACCUUCUGAUAUUCUUGUGAAUCACAAGCAGGCAUUACAUAUUGGGAAAGACGCUGUUCAGCGUAGUACAGUUUCAGGUUUGAAGCAUAAAUCAAGAGUGUAUAGUGGUAAGGAAAUGCUGCUCCGAAACGCAGCUCCAGCGUUUGAUUUGAAUCAGAAUGACAGGUCAUUCGCUGGGAAUGGUUUUGUUUCGAGGAGUACCACACCUGUCUUUGAUUUGAAUCAGGAAACUGGUCAUGUUGGGAAAGUUGUAUUGCCUAGUCAAGCUCCAGUCAUUGAUUUGAAUGAAAUCUCGGUAAGUAUCUCAACAAGAAAUCCCAAGUUUGAACUUGUGUGUAUAGACGCUAUGACAUUUCUAUGGAAGUAAGAGUAGUAACUCAUUGACGGUAAAAUUGGAUGCUUGAAAUGAAUGUGUUUUGAAAUAUAAAAAUGCAACGUUCUUUUGGGACAGUUUAUAAAGGAAAAGAGUAUUGUAUGAAAUGGAACAGAGGGAGUAUGUGUUAUACAUUUGACGAGUAAUGCAUUUUAACACUUUGCCUUCGGCAUCUCAUUUUGCAGAUAGGGGAAGAGGAGCCCCAAGCAAAUUUUGAACCAUUGAACUUUGAGGAGCCAAAGAGAGGAUUAAUUCAAAACAUAAAUGAUGAUCAGCACAGAGACUUAAAGUUAUCGAUAUGCAGGAAUGUGGGAGAAGGAACUUCUCAUGUUGAGAAGCGGAAAAUAUCGUGGCAAGAUCCUGUUGCUUUGAGGGUUUGAUCCAUCUUUCAAUUUUCAAUAAAUACCACUUAAAACUUUCGAUCUAGGGCGAGUGCCAUGGAAGUUGUAGCUUAUCCAAAGAGGUCUCUACUGACCCUCGAGGAUUUCUCGGUUAUGAAAAAAAAGUUACCAUUAGAUGUCUUUUUCCCCCUCAAUAUGUAGGUAUGCAUUUUGCCUUUUUGUGUAAAGAAAACUCAGAUAUAUCUAGUGAUAAUGAUACACAUGCUAUUGAUUGGCAAUGUGAAAAUAUAGUCAGCAUGAUUGGUUCUCUACAUUAAGUAGAACAUAUUCAUCAGUAGUUCUUGAAGAUUGCUAUCUUUAGUAUUUUGCCAUGGCUUCUUUACUUUCAGUAUUUCUUUUUCUCGAAUUGCUUUGAUAUGUUUUUUCUCGAGUUACAUGGAUAUAUCGGAAAUAAUCUCUCUACUUCUCAAGGUAGGGGUAUGGUUUGUGGACACGAUAUCCUCUUGAGAUUUCACUUGUGGGAGUAAAUUGGGUAUGUCAGUGGUGGUGUAGUUUUGUUGAAGAAGUUUGUGUCAUAUCCAAUGAGGAUAUAUUUAGUCGAUUCUAACUUGCUUGGAAGUGAGACGUUACCCUUGUAUGAAUUGCACUUAUAUUUACCAUGAACUACUUCAAGCAGGCAAACUUCGUAGAAAUUAACAUUGAGAUGUGAUUUCAAAUGAGAAAAAUCUAGUCAGAAUUGAGUGAAACAUGCAAGGAUGAGAAAAAAGAUUGACUUGAAAAUGCACUUCUCAAUCAUCUAUGAGCGACCAAUCAAGAAAUGCAAAGAUACGGGGAAUGGUUAGUGAUGAGGGCAUAAUAGGACAGAGUUUUUUCUCACUCUUUUGAAUCACAGGGAUUUUCUUUUCCUAUUCAGAAUGAAUUUGAAAUGGUAUUGCGGUGAGGUGAUUAUACAAGACACAUGAGAACAUGGUCCCUUGAUUGGAGGAUGUGGGGCAAGUGUUUUUUCGGCUCUCUUAGAGUCGAGGUCAUAAUCUUCGUACCAUCACAAUGUAGGAAUAAGAUCAACUUACACACUACCCUCUCCGACUCUACCUGUGGACACGGGUUUGGGUUUGUUGUUGUAUGUCAAGGCAAGGCCAAUGCACCACACAUCAUGCACUAGGUCACAUAUAAUGAAACAAUUUUCCAUAAUCUUUUGUCCAACCAAACGUCAUUUCAUAAACUGAAAAAUACCCAAUUAUUUGAACAGAGCUAGAGUACUAAAAGAGUACAUACACAUCACAAUUGGUAGACAAGUUGUCACAGUUAACCUUACAAUCCCUCCCCUAAACUCUACAUCUUAACAUAACACUAUGAUACUCCUGAAAAUAACUGAACUCAGUUAUCGCCAGUGGUGAACACUUCUUCCUGCUCGUCGGGGUUAAUGCUAUCAACACCUGCACCCACAUCAUCGAUCACUUCAGUUUCUUUGACAACUUCUAAUGCUUCAUUAACAGUUGGAGUGCUCUCAACCUUAGCAGUUUCAGUUUCUUCAACCUCUUUUAAUGCUUCAAUAACAGUUGGAGUGCUCUCAAUUUUAGCAGCUUCAGUUUCUUCGACCUCUUCUAAUGCUUCAUGAACAGUCUGAGUGCUCUCAACCUUAACAGCUUCAGUUUCUUCGACCUCUUCUAAUGCUUCAUUAACAGUUUGAGUGCUCUCAACCUUAGAAGCUGAAGCAGCAACGCUGCUGAGCACCAGGAGACGAGCCUUAUGCUUCUUCCCUACCCUGUGUGCCUCCAAUGACACCUCUGACAAAGCCCCUACUUUGCACGUUGCGCACCAAAAUUUGUACUUCUUCUUCUUACUAGUCUUCUGCUUUUUUGGAGUUGCAUUUGCACUUUUCUUCAAGUCAUCAGCAUUGUGAUGCAGAGUUGGGGUGAUGGUGUCCUCUGCACCUUCUUUCUCCAAAAUUACCAAAGAUGAUCUUUCCCCUGAUUUGUUAUGAAGCAACAAUUCAACUUUUGGUUUUACCAUUUGCUCCAUGUUAACAUUGCCAUCGGCUUCUGAAAAGUUGUUAAUCUUAGGUUUCUUUGGGAAAAGACCGAUACUGUAGUUCUUCCCGUUCCUCUGUUCUCGCAAAGCAGCUUCCUUGGACUUGUGUUUCUUUCCUUGGAGGUGAUCAUUCAGACCACGCUCACAUGUCGCACUUACCUGGCAAAGUGCACAACUCCAGUCCUCUUUCCCAUUUUUCUUGGGAACACUGGAUGACGGAGGCUGGCUGGCAACCUCCACUGGUGGUGUUACAGCUUUUCGUUUUGCUCCAGAGACACUUGUAAUAGGCUUAGCCUGCAACCAAAAGCUCAAGAGAAGUUCGUGAACAAACAAUGCUUCAAAAUUCAAUCAGAUUAGUGGUGAAAGGUACUGUAAUCCUAUACAUAAUUAUUUUCAUAAAAGCGAGAUAAGUGAUGAGAGCCACAUUUUACACACAUAAUGGAUGUCAGUAUAGUUUAAAUGGUUGGAACGUCUGCAUUUUUUAAUUAUUUGUACCAAGCCAGCGUCAGGCAUAACACGAAGCUUACAUCAAAUCACCAGAAAACUCUACCUACACCUAAUAUGUGCACUGCUUUAUAAAGAGAUACAAUAAGAGAGACCUCAAAUCACGCUAAGCCCAUAUGAAGAGGAUGGUUAUUUACCUAUGUCUCCUUGUCAAUCUCUCUCCUCGGGUCCAUUUAAUACACGGAUUCCCCUUCUUCUACAAAGGUCACCGGCUUGUCAAUUAAUUUAAAGUAUUGGUCUCUCAAUACUUUAUUUGCCUAUGGGCUCUCAAAGAUAAACUGAACAGCUAAGUCAUAUACUUACCUUACAACAACAGCAACAACAACGUACCCAAUGUACGCAUACCUUUACCCCUACCUUUGUGGGGUAGAGAGGAUGUUUCCAGUAGACUGUUGGCUCAACCAUAAAGAGUCAUUAAUUGCACAAUCUCCUAGAGUGUAGCUUCGUCCAUAACCUAUUUGUUAGAUCUUGAAUGAGCCAUCUCAUGACAAUAAAUAGUAACUUAGUUACUAAAGUUUUUUUUUUUAGGAGUUGGUUACAAAAAAGAUUAAAUGUGCAAUCUCAUCCAUUUUCUCCCUGAACACAUUCUUCUACUCACCUCUGAAUUGAUAGGAUGAUUUGGGCAUAUUUAGUAGAAUUAUAACUGUUAAGACUAACUUCAAGCGAAGCAAAAAGUCUCAAUUUGGACACACUCACCUCAAGAUAGGAAGUAAAACUGGUGGAGAAGUCAUACUUCAAAAUUACAAUUUAAUAAUUCAAAUUGUAAUCCAAAACUGCAACUUAGAAGAGAUGUGCACAACACUUGUUUCAACCAUUUGUUAUCAUUUAUUAGCAUUCGACAAAGAAAUAGCAAUUAUAAGCAAAAAGGUCUCAUCUUGUGGUUCAUUCCUCAGCUGUGAUCAUUUCAGCCAAAAACAAACAACCCAACUAAUUAGGCACAGAAAACAGGAUCAAUCUACAGCUCAUAUGAUCACACUACAAUAUCUAACUCGCUUCUCCUACUUUAGUAACCUUGAUAGUUAUCAAAAGGCCCUGGCCUUCCACAUUGACACAAAAAAUAAAAGAAACAUUUGUACACACUAAUUACAGAUAUAAGCAAGGGCAUGUAUUGUGCAAUCUUUUUACCACAAUCAGGUGAAAUAGAGUCGAUCUACUUCCUUAUUCUUCUUGCUAGAUGAGAUUGACACGUUUGAGAGCUACCAAGGGUCCAGUUAAAACUCUACCGUUCAAUAAAGGACAAGCAUGGAAGAAAAAGGGGGAAAUAAGGACACGUGCACACACGGAAAUACAAAAGGACAAUUGAGAGAAAGGACGUAAGAGAUUGCAUUGUAAGUAUAUGAAUGCAGUCCUAAAAUUAGCUGCAAUCGGUAGGAUAUGCAUUGGAGGGGAGACCCUAGUGUUAGAUACAAACCAGUACAAAGCAUAAAGAUGGAUAUAUGCAUUGACUGGUUAUAGCAAUUAUUUUUUAAUUGAAUCCAGAAAAAGCAAUGCUAUCAAACUAAUCACUUCACCCAAGAGAGAGAAGAAACAAAAAAUAAGAAAAACUUUACCAGAAAUAGCAAGUAUGAUCUCUAGUUCAGGAUAGCAAAAUGGAAUAGACAUAUGCAGGAUGAACAAAAACAUACUGACCAGCAAGAUGAUCUUGUCUUUUUCUUUUCUAGGCUCCAAAGGGGACUGCAAUUCAGAAAUCAUUGGCACUGAACUAUGGGAUACAGGCUUCAAAGCAGAAUUUUUUGGUUCCACACUCCGCUGCUGAAAAGGAAUCUCUGGAAUCCGCUCCUCAAAUGGUACUAUUUCAAGUCUCCCAAUCUCAUUUCUUGCACCCAAUCUAGAGACUGAUAUCCCCCUUCCCAUCCUGUCCUCAAGUGACCUUGCAAUUCUUUCCUCUACAGACCUUACAACAGUCUGUUGCUUCGAGAAUGGAAGCGUGGGAGAGAAACUCAUUGCAGGUGAAGAAAAAGGAGACAAUCCCUCUCCACUCUGCUGUGCUAGUUGUCUUUCCAUCAUGAGCUCUCGUCUAACUUCCAACUCCAACAUGCGUCUUCGAGCUAUCUCUUCAGCUAUAAUCUCCUCUUUAAUUUUCUCCUUCUCAAUCUCUCUCCAAAUUGCCUCACGCAUAUUGGCAGGUUGGUUUUGGAUAUGAUCAAGUUUAUUUUCAAAUUGAGGCGCCAUGUAGCCAGCUGAAACUUGUGAUAAACAACGCAAAGAGCAACAACUUAGUCUCAAAAUACAAUAUAAAUUGAACAAUGCAGGCACCAUGAAGUCAAUAGAACUCAGGAGCAACAAAAAAGCCAAACUUUGAAAUUCAUCUCUUCCAAGUAACUACAUUUCAUCCCCUUCAGUUCUGUGCUUGGUUAACACAGGCAUAGACAAAUCCAGGAGAUUCAACGAAUCAAAAGUCAAUCUUUCUCUUAAAUGAACACCAUCAAGGAUAAGACAAAUACUUACGUGAAUCAUACUAGUUAGAAAUAAGUAAAAAACACGAUCACAGAAGGAAAAAAAGGCAGCUGCUUUCGGAAACACUUUCUAAAUAGAGUGAUCCCUAUCUUUUGGGAUAGGAAAUAAUACUCUUCUUAGGAUAUAACAAUCAUUUUACCAGUUAUCUAAAAGCAGCUGCUUAAACAAUGGAACAAGUUACAAACAUUUUUUAAAAAAAAAGUAAUCUUGAAAGGUUUUAUUGUUUCAAAAAGUCGCAACCUUACAAUUUAGGAUUUUCCGAAUCUUGCACAUUUACCAACUUUCCUGAAAUAAUAAGGAUCACCCUCUUUACUCAAUCACUAUUGACACUUCAAUAUAACAAACCACAGAACAACAUUAAUACUACUCUCCGCCUCCUCAAUUAACGACAUUUUCAUCGAGAUUAACCAAAAUGUCUCCAACUGUACCUUGCAGAGGCUAACACACAACACAAACAAAACCCCAAAUCCCUUCUAUCACUACAGAGUUGUUCAUCGAACAGAGAAACAAAAAGAGUAAAAAUCCUAGCCCCGCUUUACCAACUCUCACCCUCUUUACUCAAUAACUAUUGCCACUUCAAUACAACAAACCACACAAAAAUAGUACCACUACUCUCCACCUCCUCAAUUAACUACAUUCUCAUAGAGAUUAACCACAACGUCUCCCGAAAGUACUCCACGUAAGCUAACACAACACAAAUAAAACCCAAAACCCUUUUAUCGCUAUAGAAAAAUUAAUGCUAAUACUACUCUCCGCCUCCUAAAUUAACAACAUUCUCAUCGAGAUUAACCAAAAUGUCUCCAAAUGUACUUCGCAGAGGCUAACACAGAACACAAACAAAACCCCAAAUCCCUUCUAUCACUACAGAGUUGUUCAUCGAACAGAGAAACAAAAAGAGUAAAAAUCCUAGCCCCGCUUUACCAACUCUCACCCUCUUUACUCAAUAACUAUUGCCACUUCAAUACAACAAACCACACAAAAAUAGUACCACUACUCUCCACCUCCUCAAUUAACUACAUUCUCAUCAAGAUUAACCACAAUGUCUCCCGAAAGUACUCCACGUAAGCUAACACAACACAAAUAAAACCCAAAACCCUUUUAUCGCUAUAGAAAAAUUAAUGCUAAUACUACUCUCCGCCUCCUCAAUUAACAACAUUCUCAUCGAGAUUAACCAAAAUGUCUCCAAAUGUACUUCGCAGAGGCUAACACAGAACACAAACAAAACCCAAAAUCCCUUCUAUCUCUAUAGGAUUGUCCCAUUGAGCAGAAAAAUUAAUGCUAAUACUACUCUCCGCCUCCUCAAUUAACUACAUUCUCAUAGAGAUUAACCACAACGUCUCCCGAAAGUACUCCACCUAAGCUAACAUAAAACACAAUUAAAAAACAAAACGCAUUCUAUAGCUAUAGAAUUGUCCAUUGAACAGAAAUAAUGGUAACACUACUCUCCACCUCCUCAAUUAACUACAUUCUCAUCAAGACUAACCACUAUUCCUCCCGAAAGUACUCGGCAUAAGCUAACACAAAACACAAAUAAAACCCAAAAUCCUUCCAUCAACACAGCAUUGUCCAUUGAACAGAAAAAUAAUGCUAAAACCAUUCUCCACCUCCUCAAUUAACGACAUUCUCACCCAGAUUAACCACAACGUCUCCCGAGUGAACUCCACAUAGGCUAACACAAAACACAAACGAAAGCCAAAAAUCCCUUCCAUCAAUACAGAAUUGUCCAUUGAACAGAAAAAUAAGGCUAACACUACUCUUUACCUCCACAAUUAACUACACUCUCAUCGAGAUUAGCAACAUCUCGCAAAUGUACUUCACACAAGCUAACACAAACAAAACCCAAAAAUCCCUUCAAUCAAUACAGAAUUGUCCAUUGAACAGAAAAAAAAUGCUGACACUACUCUCCGCCUCCUCAAUUAACUACAUUCUCAUCAAGAUUAACGACAACAUCUCCCGAAUAAACUCCACAAAAGCUAACACAAACAAAACCCAAAAAUCCAUUCCAUCAAUACAGAAUUGUCCAUUGAACAGAAUGCUAACACUACUCGCCGCCUCCUCAAUUAACUACAUUCUCAUCAAGAUUAACCAUAACAUCUCCCAAAUGUACUCCACAUAAACUAAACACAUAUAAAAUCCCUUCUAGCACUACAAAAUUGCCCAUUGAACAGAAAAAUAAUGCUAACACUACUCCACCUCCUAAUCAACUAUAUUCUCACUCAGAUUAACCACAAAUAUUUCCUAAUAUACUUCUCAUACUUAAAGAUUACAGAAGGAAAAAAAAAGGCAGCUGCUUUCAGAAACACUUUCUGAAUAGUAUGAUUCCCAUCUUCUGGGGAUAGGAAAUAAUGCCUUUCUUUGGAUACAAAAAGUAUUUUACCAGUUAUCAAAAAGCAGCUGCUUUGACAAUUGAACAACGUUAAAAACAUUUAAAAAAUUUAUCUUGAAUGGUCUUAUUGUUUCAAAAAAUCGUAACCUUUCAAACCAGAUACUUCUUUCUACUUAUUAGCCGUCCAAAAUCAAAUUGCCACAAUUUUUAUUUUUUUUAUGAAAUACUUAGAAGAUCUAUUCCUUCUAUUGCACUUCCAAUGGAGGAUUUUCCGAAUCUUGCACAUUUACCAACUUUCCUGAAAAGAAAAAGGAUCACCCACUUAAACUCAAUCACUAUUGACACUUCAAUAUAACAAACCACACAACAACAUUAACACUACUCUCCACCUCCUCAAUUAACUACAUUCUUAGUUAACUAUAUUAUCAUCAACUUUAACCAAAAUGUCUCCACAUAUACUUCAUAGAGGCUAACACAGACCACAAAAAAACCCAAAAUCCCUUCUAUCGCUAUAAGAUUGUCCUAUUGAACAGAAAAAUUAACGUUAAUAGUACUCUCCGCCUCCUCAAUUAACUACAUUCUCAUAGAGAUUAACCACAAUGUCUCCCAAAGUACUCCAUAUAAGCUAACACACAACACAAAUAAAACCCAAAAAUCUCUUCCAUCAAUACAGAAUUGUCCAUUGAACAGAAAUUUAAUACUAACACUACUCUCCGCCUCCACAAUUAACGACAUUCUCAUCGACAUAAACAACAUCUCCCGAAUGUACUCCACAUAAGCUAACACAAACAAAACCCAAAAAUCCCUUCCAUCAAUACAAAAUUAUCCAUUAAACAGAAAAAUUACCGUAACACUACUCUACGCCUCCUCAAUUAACUACAUCCUCAUCGAGAUUAACCACAUCGUCUCCUGAAUGUAUUCCACAUAAGCUAAACACAAAAUCCCUUCCAUCUCUAUAGGAUUGUCCCAUUGCGCAGAAAAAUUAAUGCUAACAGUACUCUCCACCUCGUCAAUCAAAUACAUUCUCAUCCAGAUUAACCACAAAUGUUUCUGAAUAUACUUCACAUAAACACACACAAAACCCAAAUUCCGGAUUGUCAGAUUGAACACAAAAAGAAUGGUAAAACUACUCUCCACCACCUCAAUCAGCUACAUUCUCACCCAGAUUAACCACAAACCUUUCCGAUAUACUUCACAUAGACAAACCCAAAACCCAAAAUCCUUUCUUUCGUACAAAUCAUUCAUCCACAGAAAAAAAAUAUUAAAAAAGCGAAAAUUCAGAGAAAAGGAAGAAACCUCGAAUGGCUUGUUGAGAGAAGUAAGUGAGCGACGGAAGCUGUGUAUAACUCAUCGGAGGCUGAGGAUGCUGUGCAUAGCUCGUCAUCGUCUGAGGCCGCGCCGGCGCCGGAUGAUCGCCGACCGAUUCAUACUUGUAAUCCAUCAAAAUUCACUCAAAAAUUUUGAAAUUUUUCUUGAAAUUCACAAUGCCAAAACAGCAAAUCGUUACAUAUAUAGAGAGAUUGAGAGCAAAAAAGGUAGGGUUUUUUUCUGGGAGUGAUGAACAGUGAUUUUGGGAUUUGUGUUGAAAAAAUGAGACCUUUUUCUGACUCAAGUACAACACAUUAUAAAGCAGUCAGGUGAGUAGAAUGUGAGAAUUAACGGGUCGUUUGGUACGGUGUAUUAGAAAAAAUAGUUCAUGUUUUGUAUUGGGAUAAGACAUAAGUACCGUCAAAAUCAAAAUUUCAGAGAUGCAUCUUAACUAAAUUAAGAUCUUAUUAAAAAAGAAUCUAUAAUUUUUUUGUAAUUUGUACACACUUUUGACUUAUGUGGCAUCCAAACAUCUCUCACGUGCCUUAACUACGUGGAGUCAUGCAGUGUGCCACAUAAGCCAAAAGGGGUAUUUAAAAUCUUAGUUUAGUUAAGGUGUGUCUAUGAGAUUUCGAUUACUUGUGUCUUAUCCAUUUUAUAUUAAUAUUUAAACCACAUUUAAGAUUAUGUAAGAAACAAUACACCAAAUACUUGAUAAAAAAUAGUCUCUGCAUUACCAAUUUCUACAUUACUAAUUAUUGUGCUAUUAAUCUUUGUAACAAACGACCCCUUAAUGUGAUGUGAAUAAUUUACUUUCAAGUAAAUAUCAUUAGUAAUUGUUUCUUCUUCUUUUUUGUCGAUAAAUAACUUUGUUGUCUUUAUUUCGUAUUCUGUUUUAAAUGUUUAUACGAUACAAUGCAUCAUUUACCAUCUAAUUUUUUUUUAAAAAAAUGUGUUUGAAUAAAAAAGAUACAAAUUUAUUAAUGAAUCUUUUAUCGAUAAAAUAUUGUUGACAAUGUGUUGAAUUGACAGGCGUUGAUCUAGUCGGCAUUGAAGGUCCAAUUGUAUUAUAGGAAUUCGAAAAAAAAGAGUUCAGAAACUCUACGUGACAGGAAAAUAGAGAAUUUUGUUAGAUUAUGAGCUUGCACAUUUUAUAUUCGAAGAAUAUAUAAAAUAUUAAUAUCUUUAAAAGAAGAUAUCUAUAUUCAUAUAUCCUCGUAAAUGAUAUUUAUUUCUCAAAUAUCAGUAUCUUCUUUUGUAAUAUUUGUACCACAUUCUUUGCAUCUAAUAAUACAUGAAUUGUUAGCGAUUCAGUGAUUUACAAAUUGAAUAGGAGUGUUAGAAUAACCAUAGUCGUCAUUUCGAUGCUUGCAUUUUUCUUGUCCAUUUAUAAAUCUAUAUAUGUAAAAACAAUAAUUCUAUCUUAUGCCAUAUUAUUUCCAUCAUGAAUGUUGUUAGGUAUAUAUAUGUCAAGACAUGUAAUUUGCAAGACAUUGUCAUUAAACAUCAUUAGUUUAAGAGAGCUGGAGUAUUGAUAUGUAUAUCGAAAUUAAUUAUUUUAUCAUAUUUGUGAAUUUUUUUUUAUAUCUAAUUUCGAUCUGUUAAUAGGAGUCGAUUUUCACGCUAACAGAGCUUUGAGACAACUAAAAAAAAUACAUUUUUAAAUACAUUUUAUACCCUUCCCUAGGAGCUCUCACUUUUUUCGUCUCUUGGUGACACGAACUUACGAUCUUAAAAUCGAAAGUAUUCGAUGUUUACCAUCCGAACAACUCCCUCUUGUCUAACAGGUAAGACAUUAAGAAUGUAUUUUCUGAUAAAAUAAUUUUAUUUUCAUGAACCACAAAAUUUCUAAAAAGAUUUUGAAAACAAAUGACAAUUGGCUUGAGGCCAAUAAAUACUAGCAUCAAUAAAAUUAACAAAAUCAUUCGCUAAAUGAUAAUCAGAUCCCUCAUACUUAUCUGAAUUAGUAUAGUGUCAAAUAAUUUUAUCAGAAGUUUCAAUAAUAGAAAUUGAGAUGGACAAGAUUAAAUUAAUACCAUUAAAAUAAAUUAUUUAUGAAGUUCUUAAAUAUUCCAUAUAUGAUUGUGUUGAUCUAUUUGUAAUAAUAUGCAGUAGCUCGUAUCUUAAAUUUAAUCUACUACAUAUUGUGACUAUCAAUUUUGAGAUAUUUGAGGUAAAAUAGUCAAGUUGGAUAAUUUUGCUAGUUUUCACAAAUUUUGAUGGUAUAAACCUUAUUUAAAAAGAGUACAUUCAAAUUCUAAUAUUGUUUGCAAAAAGUAUGGUUAAACACAAUUUCAAUUUUAAUUUAUUUAUUUUUAAAAAUAAAGUGUCUUUUUGUGUUUUCAUGCACCCACUAAGUUAUUUUAACCCUCCAAAAAAGGGAAAUGCUUUUGAGUAUUGAUAGCAAAGCUCUUCUUGAUUGAAGGAUAAGGAUGAAGCUUUAGAAGCUCUAAAGAAAUUCAUGACAAAAUCUUAAAUGUCAAAUACAACGGACUUCAACUGCAGAUCCAACAAAGUAGUUUGAUUCAGUUUUUUAAGCGUUAGAUUUUUUCUCAUAAAUUUAUAUGCUUUUACUUGAAUAUUGUCGAUCUGAAGUUGUCAUUUUGAUUUGUUGUCUCAAGUAAAGACGUUAGAUUGAUUCUCAUAAAUCUAUAUGUUGUUGCUUCGAUCAAGACUUUAAAACAUUGCGUUCCUUAAAAUUCUUUAGAUUGUUCCUUCGAAUUUUUAAUAUUUUUACAUCUGUUUUCAGGUUUUUUUUUUCUAUUUUUACUUUCUCACUUUUAAAUAAUCAAUUCUAAAUUUGAGAUCUCCCUAACCUCAUUAUUAUACCUAUCAUAAAUAUUUUUUUCUAUUACUGGAGAGAAAUUAUAAGUCGUCAAAUUCUCUGAGAAAUUGAACUAGAAAUAAGAAAUUAAUAGAUUAGCUGAUUGUGGUAGAUUAAUAAAAUGUUAAUUACCAAAACAGACAUUAUUAAUUUUUAAUUUAAAAAUAUUCUUAAAUAAAUUAUAUUUAUAAAAUCUAUCCUUAUUGGUGUCAAUGGGGAUCAUGAGUUUCUUCAUAGAUGUUCACACUCAACAGUACUCUUUUCUAUCUUUACAUUUUUUCUUAAAAAGAAAAAGGGUUUUAUAAUUUGAAUUUUAUGUGAUCUUUUUAGAGGUUUUGAAGUCUUAAUAUGACAUUGUAUCCUUUGUUUUAUGAAACACAUGAAUUAACAAUUAAGAAAUACAAAAUUUUAUAAUUUGAUUUGCUUCAUGUGUUUAAGUUAUUGAAAUGAAAUAACUCACACUGAUGAAGCUAUCGAAGAUCAUGGAUAUAAAGAAAAUGAUGUCCUGAUCGAGAUACAAGUGAAAAGUAUGAAUUUUCAAACAUAUUAUUUGUGCAUUAUCAAUCUUAUUGCUAAUGCGCAACUUGUGUGUUUGACUAUUCAUAGUUUUCACUUAUAUCGCGAUCCUCAUGUCAAUGUCUUCAUGUCCAUAGUCGAUCAAAUUGUAAGAUAUUGUGUUUUUUAAAAUUUAAAAUUUAUGUGUUUGAUAUGUGGAUCGUCUGAUUUUGAGAUCCGUCUGAGUAAGUAACAAUUUACUACUCCAUUCUGUUCAUUUAUACUUGUCACUGUUUGACUUGGCACACUCAUUAAGAAAAUAAUUGAGUAAAUUACAUAACGAGUUUACAACGAUGAAGUGAGCUAAUGAAGAACACUUAGAGCUGGGGGUUGUCCAGUUUUACAUAUUUCACUUGAUAAAUAAAGAAAAAAUUACGCGAUAGAGCAAACUAAGUCCUAUUUACCUGAAACAGCGAUAGUUUUACAUAUUUCACUUGAUAAAUAAAGAAAAAAUUACACGAUAGAGCAAACUAAGUCCUUCUAUUUACCUGAAACAGUGAUAGUUUUACAAUAUUACGAUAUGUAGGAAUCACAAGAACCUGGAGAACGAAAUUGAAAAUUUGAAGAACAAGAGGUUCUUUUGUCUACUUAUCUUCUUAUCGCUCUUCGAUCAGUCACAGAAGCUUCGUUGAUGAAAAGGAAUCCCUCAAAUUCGCUCCUCAAAUGGCGCUAUGUCAAGUCUUGCAAUCUAAUUUCGUGCACCCAAUCUACUAGAGACUAAUAUCCCCUUCCCAUCUGUGACGAUGCAAUUCUUUCCUCUAAGGAUGUUACGUCACUCUGUUGCUUCAAGAACGGAAGUGUGGGAGAAGAAAAGGAAGAUGAUCCUUCUCCACUCUGCUUUGCUAGUUGUAUUUCCAUCAUGAGCUCUCUUCUUACGUCAAACUCCACCAUGCGUCUACGAGCAAUCUCUUCUGCAAUAAUCUUCUCUCUAAUACGCUCCUUCUCAAUCUCUCUCAUAAUUGCCUCACGCAUAUUGGCAGGUUUGUUUUCAAAAUGAGGCGGAUCUACAUAGCCAGCUGAAAGUUGUGAUAAACAUAAUAAAGAGCAACAAUGAGAUUAACCACAAUAGUUUCCAAAUGUACUUAACAGAGGCCAACACGGAACACAAACAAAACCCCCAAAAUUCUUUCGAUCACUACAGAAUUGUUCAUCAAACAGAGAAAUAAAAAGAGCAAGAAUCCUAGCUCUGCCUCGGAAUUCUCUCAUUGCAUUUUCAACAUUAGAUUUCCUGAAUCCCACACAUUUAGUGAUUUUCCUGAAAAAUCACCCUCUUUACUCAAUAACAAUUGCCACUUCAAUAUAACAAAGCACACGACAACACUAACACUACUCUCCACCUCCUCAAUUAACUACAUUCUCAUUGAGAUUAACCCCAACGUCUCCUAAUGCACUUCACAGAGGCCAACUCAAAACACAAAUAAAACCGAAAAUCCCUUCUAUCGCUACAGAAUUGUCAAUUGAACAGAAAAAUAAUGCUAACAUACACUAUUCUCCAUCCACUCAAUAAACUACAUUAUUUCCAAAAAGCUAGUUUCUAACAACAUUGGCCUACCUAGAUGGAUUUUUGUUCUACGGUUAGUUGCUCUAGGAAGGCUCAACACAAGGAACAGGCUGUUUAAAUGGGGGUGACUACAAAUCAGAUGUGUUCACUUUGUGAGGUGGAGAAUGAUACCAUACAUCGUCUGUUUUUCGCAUGUAAUGUGCCUUACCAGGUGUGGCAGAAGUUGUUGUUAUGGAGUGAUAUCAGGAGAACAUCCGUGAAAUGAGCUGAACAACAUGCUAAAGAAAGAGGUCCAAAUGCUGAAAUGUAUAGAAUGAUGCUAGCUGCUACUGUCUUUUUUCACGAUAUUUCAGAACAAGAAGCAGACUACGACUAGAUUGAUAAAGCAAGUGAUCAAAGCAAGGAGAGUUUCCAAAAGCUCAAUACUUGGCUUGAAGAACACAGUUUCUAUCCUGCAGCUUGAUACAACUUUGUUAAGAAAUAUCGGUCAAAAGACACACGUAAAGUAUCAUUUUUUUGUGAGAUUUACACCCCAACCAUCAAUAGUUUCCUCUUCCUACUUAAACUAUCACCAUCUAUGUAUUAAAAACACACCUCAACUACUCUCCGCCUCCACAAUUAACUACAUUCUCAUCGACAUAAACAACAUCUCCCGACUGUACUCCACAAACAAAGCCCAAAAAUCCCUUCCAUUAAUACAAAAUUGUCCAUUGAACAGAAAAACUACUCUACGCCUCCUCAAUUAACUACAUCCUCAUCGAGAUUAACCACAUCGUCUCCUGAAUGUACUCCACAUAAGCUAAACACAAAAUCCCUUCUAUCUCUAUAGGAUUGCCCCAUUGAGCAGAAAAAUUAAUGCUAAUAGUACUCUCCACCUCGUCAAUCAAAUACAUUCUCAUCCAGAUUAACCACAAAUGUUUCUGAAUAUACUUCACACAAACUAAUACAAAACACAAAUUCUGGAUUGUCGGAUUAAACACAAAAAGAAUGGUAAAACUACUCUCCACCACCUCAAUCAGUUACAUUCUCACGCAGAUUAACCACAAACCUUUCCGAUAUACUUCACAUAGACAAACCCAAAACCCAAAAUCCUUUCUUUCGUACAAAUCAUUCAUCCACAGAAAAAAUAUAUAUAAAAAAGCGAAAAUUCAGAGAAAAGGAAGAAACCUCGAAUAGCUUGUUGAGAGAAGUAAGUGAGAGACGGAAGUUGUGUAUAACUCAUCGGAGGCUGAGGAUGCUGUGCAUAGCUCGUCAUCGUCUGAGGUCGCGCCGGCGCCGGAUGAUCGCCGACCGAUUCAUACUUGUAAUCCAUCAAAAUUCACUCAAAAAUUUUGAAAUUUUUCUUGAAAUUCACAAUGCCAAAACAGCAAAUCGUUACAUAUAUAGAGAGAUUGAGAGCAAAAAAGGUAGGGUUUUUUUCUGGGCGUGAUGAACAAACAGUGAUUUUGGGAAUUUGUGUUGAAAAAAUGAGACCUUUGUCUGACUAAAGUACAACACAAUAUAAAGCAGUCAGGUGAGUAGGAUGUGAGAAAGAUGGCACUUAACGGGUCGUUUGGUAGGAUGUAUUAGAAAAGGAAAGUGCUAAAUGACCAGAUAAUUUAGCCAGAAUUUGUCAAAAAAUUAAAAAAAUUAUAAUAUUUUUUUAAUUUUAAAAUAAACUGAUUUUUUCUCCAUUUUUUAGUUAAAAGAUAUUAAAGUUAAAAGGGUAAAAAUAUUUUAAAAAGUAAAAUAACAUAGAUAAAAUAUCAUUCUGACCAAAUUUUCUAGUCAAAAAGAUUUUUCCAUUAGAAAAAAUAGUUCAUACUUUGCAUUGGGUUAAGACAUAAGUACCGUCAAAAUCGAAAUUCUAGAGAUACAUUUAACUAAAUUAAGGUCGUAUUACGCCCGAAUCCAUUUUCUUUUGUAAUUUUGUACACCUUUUUGACUUACGUGACAGUCAAACAUCUCUCACAUGUUUAAACUACGUGAAGUCACGCAGUGAUACAUAAACCAAAAGGUGUAUAAAAUUACAAAAAAAUGAGUUAUAAAGUGUUAGUUUAGUUAAGAUGUGUCUUUGAGAUUUCAAUCAUAAUCUAAGGGAGUACUUGUGUCUUAUCUCUAUUAUAUUACUCCCUCCGUUUCACAAAGAGUGGCCUAGUUUAACUUGGCACGGAAGUUUAAGAAAAUAAAGAAGACUUUUGAAUCUUGUGGCCCUAAAUUAAAGUUAUGUCAAAUGUACAAAAUUUCCCUUUAAUCUUGUGGUUUUAAACAUGCCACGUGGAAAGUUAAAAGUAAAAUGUUACCAAAAAAGGAAAGGGGCCAUUCUUUUUGAAGUUGACUAAAAAAGAAAGGAGAUCAUUCUUUUUGAAACGGAGGGAGUACUAUACAAACCACAUAUAAGAUUAGGUAAGAAGCAAUGCACCAAAUACUUGAUAAAUAAAUAAUCUGCAUUACCAAUUUCUACAUUACUAAUCUCUGUGCUAUUAAUCUUUGUCACAAACGACUCCUUAAUGUGAUGUGAAUAAUUUAUUUUCAAGUAAAUAUCAUUAGUAAUUGUUUUUUAUUUAAUAUAUAACUUUAUUGUCUUUAUAUCGUAUUUUGUUUUAAAUGUUCAUACGAUACAAUACAUCAUUUACCAUCUAAUUUGAAAAUAUUGAAUUUGUGUUUAAAUAAAAAAGAUACAAAUUUAUUAAUGAAUCUUUUCUCGAUAAAAUAUUGUUGAUAAUGUGUUGAAUUGAUAGGCGUUGAUCUUGUCGGUAUUGAAAACGCAAAAGACUGUCUAAAACACACAUAAAGUAUCAUAUUUUUUUGCGAGAUUUACACCCCAACCAUCAAUAGUUUCCUCUUCCUGCUUAAAACUAUCACCAUCUAUGUAUUAAAAAACACACCUCAACUAUCAAUUAUUCCCUUUUCGUAUCUGAACUACCUUGUAUAUAUUAAAACACACCUCAACUAUACGGUGUUCCAAUCAGGUAGGAAUAGGAAAGAUAGGUAUGUUUUUCAAUACAUAGACACUAAUAGUUCAGCUAACAAAAGAAAUACCAAAUCAUAGUUGAUGUAUGAAACUCGCGAAAAGAUAAUUUUUUUGACUAUUAACUCUUUUCUUAGUAACAUUUUUUGCUUAGAAUAGUAGUUUAUGCAUUUUUUCACUAUACAAAUAAACAUCAAACCAAAAACACAACAAAACCCAAAAUCCCUUCCAUCAAACAGAAAAAUAAAAAAGAGGGAAAAAUCGAUAGUGAAAGAGAGAGAGCAACAUUCUUUUAUUAUAAAUAAAAUCAAUACAAUGUUUGGGUUGCAAUAUUAAGAAACCAACAUAUAACUAAUUCUACAUAACUCUAACCAACUAUCAAAACGAUUCGUAAAGAUAUAUUUGGUCCAAUUUAGAACAUUAGACAUGAAUUAGGAUAUGAUACGACUUUAAUUUACUGAAAAUAUGGACGUAGAUAUGAAGAUAUGAAGGUUGAGAAUUAGAAUAGAAUGAUAUAUAAUUGACAGUUGUAUGGUGUUCCACUUUAUAUGUGGGAGAAGUAGGAAUCUAGCCUCCUUUUCUCCACUUCUCAGUAUUAGUAUGUAGUAUUAAUUAGUAGUCACGUAUUUCGUAUUCUUCAAUGUGUAUCUUUUUUUUUGUCUCAUUUGCUUUGUAUGUUCUUGUAAUCAUAAACAUCUUAUUUUUUUAGUCGAGAAUUACAAAAUCUAUGUAUAUCUUAUCUUUUUCAUAUUAUAAUGAAUAUGUUAUUGUAAUUAAAGAGUACUAAAAGUUAAGAUGUUAAUUAAAUUUACUAAUUGAAUAAGACUAUAAGAUCCUACAUUUUAGUGAGUUGAAUCUUGAAUAAAUUAUUUCCUUAAGACCAGCAAAAACCAAAUUUCUUGUACUUAUAGGUGCUGGAUUUAUCACUUGGGAACUUAACUCUAAUUCCAAUACAUAGAAGUUUAUUAAACUUUCUUCAUAAAAUUUGUUAAAUAUAAAAUAAAAUAUUUUAAAUAUGGCUUCAAGAUGUGAAGUUUUCUUGGAGAUUUUGCUUGCAAUCUUGAUUCCACCUCUUGGAGUUUUCUUUAGACAUGGUUGUUGCAGUGUAAGAUCCCCCACCCCCUCACUCUUCAUAGUAAUUUUAUUGUUGGUUCAUGAUCAAGAACGGUUAUUGAAUACCUUUCGUUGAAAAUUAUAAUACGUAUAUAAAAAUUGAUAGUACAUAUAUAAGUUAAGUAAUCUCGAAUAUCCGUAGUGAAAUUUCUAAUUUUGUUAUUGUUCAUGUCAUGUAUUUUUAAGUUGCACCCAAUGUGUCUUAAUUGGUCGGUCAAUAAGGUAGGUGAAAAUCAUGGGAAAUCGAUAAUAGUGAAGAAAUUUAUUUAUUUAUUUUUCUAUAUUUUGAUUGAUUGAGUUAUGUGAUAUAUGUAUUUGAUGAGAAAUAGUAAGUACUUGAUUGAAUUCACAAGCAAAUAUAUUAGAUAACUUCGUUCACAAAAAAUUAAAUAGAUGAUAAGAAAUUCACUUUGAAUAUAAUUUAAUUCUAAGUUCUCAAUUUAUCCACAAUUGAAAUUAUUUAUAACCAUAUAAAUGCUUACAAAUAUUUUAUACUAAUUUUAUUUUUUUUUAAAAAUCUUUCUUUACAAUAUACAAUUGAAUUGACUUAUAUAAAAUGCAUCAUGCUUAUUAGUGACUAAAAGAUGCUUAGAAAUUAGAAUCUCUUUCAACACAAUAAAAUUUGCUAAUCACUUUUAUUAAUUAUUUUCUUUUGGUUUUGCAGUGUCAACUCUUGAUUUGCUUGAUUUUGACCCUACUAGGUUAUAUUCCAGGGAUAAUUUAUGCCAUUUAUGCAAUUGUCGUCGUUCAUGAUUAAAUUAUAAUUUGUAGCAAAAAACUCAUUCAACGUUAUUUAAGAAUCACGAUAAUAAAGAAAAAAAGUUGAUUGACCAUCAAAAUUGUCACUUGAUGAUUAAGGCGUCACGUUGAAGAAAAGGUUCUAGUAAUGUUUCAACAAUAUUAAGUUAAUUCAUCAUACUUGGUGACCUUAUGUGACAUUUUUCCUUUAAAAGACCUUGCGCGAUACGUAUUUAAAUUAGUCAUGUGAGUAUCAAAUAUCAGACGUGGAAUCAAAUGCUUACAAUCUCUUUCAACAUAAUAAAUUUUGCUAAUCACUUUUGAUUAAUUAUUAUUAUUAUUUUUUGCCUUUUUUUUUGCAGUGUGAGUUCUUGGUUUGCUUGAUUUUAACCCUACUAGGUUAUAUUCCUGGAAUUAUUUAUGCAAUUUAUGCAAUUGUGGUUCGUGGUUAUGAUCAAGAUGAAGAAUGGCGUCCUCUCACAGCCUAGUUAUUAUUAUAUUUUUAAUUUUUAAUAUUUUUUUUGGAUAAUAGGAAAACAAUAAUUCUAGAUUUAUUUAAUCUAGAAAAUACUUGUUAGUCGAUAUUCUUUGGUUCUUAAAAAAAUAUUAAUAAAAGUUUUGGCAUGUCCCUAUUAUUUUUUAUUGAAAAAAAUAUGUCGAUUAGUUAAUUCAGCCUUUUAUUAGUAGUUUUUAUAGUGGUAGUUUAACAUAGCAAUGAUUUGGGGAUUUUAUAGCAAAUUAAUAUGCAUAGAUACAAUUAUUAUAUAUACGAAUACACUUAUUAUGCGCACAAAUACAUAAUUAAAUAUAUCCACAAACACAUGUAUCAAAUAAUAUCGGUUGUGAUUAAAUAAAUGUAUGUUAUAAUUUUUAAAAUUUUCUCCUUUUGGAUGAUAGGAAAACAAUAAUUUUAGAUUAAUUGAUCUAGAAAAUACUAGUUAUACUAUAUGCUUUGAGAUUCUUUAAUUUCAAAAUAAAUACAAUCUUUGAUAUAUGACUAUUAUUUUAACUUUAUAUUAUUUAUGGUCUCUUAUUUUUCAAUUUGUUGUGGUAUUUGAUCUAUCUGCUAUUUUAAAUUUUCGUAUCACAAAAUUCUAAAUUAGAAUAUGAACUUUGUAGCUAACAAAUUUUUAUGAUAAUUUAUCGUCAAUUCAUGAUUAAAUAGGGUUAGCGAUAAAAUUUUAAUAUUUUAUAAUUAUUAAAUCCAUUUUUAGUAGUAAACAUUGUGAAGGACAUUUUAAAAAAAAAUAUUGUCCUCCAAUUUUGCGCCAUUUACGUUGCCGACACAAUAUAACUUUAUUAUAUAAUAUAUAUAGAUUUUUGGGGAAGACCAAGCUGAUUUUUUUUUUUGAAAUAAAUACAUUAUUUUAGUAGAGAAAAUGAAGUAUAAAUAUAUUCUAUAUUUAAAAAAUGAGUGUACGAAUUUUGUUAAUUUAAUAAAGAAUCUAACUCCAUCAUUUGUCAUCUCUAUAGUCAGUUUUAUUUGUGCACGAUAUUUAAAGUAACAUUCAAAUUUUAGAGCUAUAAUUUUAUUUUAUAUUUAAAAAGUUGAAAAUUUAACGACUAUUGAUCCUAACUGGUCAUCCACUUCCUCCCAAUUUUUUAAAUUAUUUAUAUUUGUUGAUUAAAUCAAUCUAUCAUUAUAAAUGAAUAUAUGGUGAUAUUCAUUUUGUUUUUUCACUCGAUAUCUGAUAUUCAUAUUGAAAUUAGAUUAUUUUGAAUUUGCUUCGCUUAAAGCCUCAUUCAGAGGGAUGCACUAAAGCUCUUUACUUAAGAAUUUUUCUAUACUCAAAACUCGAACUUGAGAUUUUUUAUUAAGAAAGAAAGAGCUUCAUCUCGUUCAUGACAUCACAUCCUUUGGUGGUGCAUUAAUAGAUCUGAUUGUGUCAACAAAUUUAUUUUUUUUGUACAAAAAAAAAAGUGACCUCUUAGGUUUCUUCACACACACAAAAACUAAAGAAAAACAUGUCUUUAUCAUUGAUAUUAUUUUUCUCUUUGCCUAGUCAACCCAUAUAUGAUUUUUUUUUAUAUACCAAAGAUCAAAUCUCUUCCACAAUAUACAUCAUUCAAAGGAGUAUGGUACUAAUUUUCUUCCUUUUUAGGGGGCAUUUUCUUGAUUUAGAAUCAAAAAGAAAAAAAAAUUAGAGUCGGAUAUGUUUAUACUUUAUUUGGUUGAAUAAAUAACUAAUCGAAGAUAAAUUUAUACCUCAAACUUAUUGUUUAGAUAUAAUAAAUUAGUCAAGAAUUAUAAUUUCAAGAUUAUACAUCCCAAAAUAAUUUUAUCCACGAGGUCAUUUGAUACUUGAGAUAUGAUUAAUAAUUUCAGUGUACAAUUUAGGAAAAAAAUACCUAAAUACACAUCUUAUUUUAUCAUAAUUUCUAAAAUUCUCUACCAUUUAAAUUUUUUUCUAAAAUUUCCUAUUAGAUACAUCACUCCCCUCUCGCUCAUACAUCAUUAUCCCCCCUCGGAUACAUCCCUCUUCUCUCGGCUACAUCCCUUCCCUAUGUAUCCGGAUGUCAUAUCCCCUCUCGGAUACAUUUCUAUCCCCUCUCGGAUACAUUUCUAUCCCCUCUCUGAUACAUCCCCCCCUUAUAUAUUCAGAUGUCUACUGUGUAUCUAGAAGUCUAGUGAUGUAUUCGAAAUCUACUCUCGGAUACAUCUCUAUCCCCUCUUCAAUACACCCCUCCCAUAUGUAUUCGGAUGUCUGCUGAUGUAUCCCCAAGUCUAGUGAUGUGUCAGAAAUUUAUAAAUUUCAAGAGAUUUUUGUAAUUUAGAAAAAAAAUAGAAAAAUAAUGUAAUUAGCUUUUAACACUAUGAGAUUUAUGUAAAUUGUCAAAAAAAUUAACGAUAACCUUAUUUCAUAUUUAGUUUAAAGUAUUAGGUAAUCUCAAGUAAAAUAUAUUAUAAAAUAAUUUCACUAUACCAAUUUAUGAAAUAUCCUUAUUUAUCAUGUCAAUUGUAAUGUUUACAUACCUUAGGAUUUAAGAAAUUUCCUAUAUAUUUUAGUCAUAAGAAAAAUAUCAUUGCCUUUAUAUCAAUCAUCAUCAUUUCUCAACCCCUACCCCCACCCCACUCCUCUGGUGUCUUGAAGAAUGGACUCAAGAUGUGCAAUUCUUUGUGAAGUUUUACUAGCAAUCUUUCUUCCUCCUCUUGGUGUUUGCCUUCGCC
rnacentral:lncRNA from 1 species